rnacentral:rRNA from 1 species
AUUGAACGCUGGCGGCGUGCUUUACACAUGCAAGUCGGACGAGUGGCGGACGGGUGAGUAACGCAUCGGAACGUACCGAAUAAGGGGGGAUAACUGUCCGAAAGGACAGCUAAUACCGCAUACUAUUCGAGCGGCCGAUGUCUGAUUAGCUGGUUGGCGGGGUAAAGGCCCACCAAGGCGACGAUCAGUAGCGGGUCUGAGAGGAUGACCAGCCAGACUGGGACUGAGCCACGGCCCAGACUCCUACGGGAGGCAGCAGUGGGGAAUUUUGGACAAUGGGCGCAAGCCUGAUCCAGCCAUGCCGCGUGUCUGAAGAAGGCCUUCGGGUUGUAAAGGACUUUUGUCAGGGAAGCGGUACCUGAAGAAUAAGCACCGGCUAACUCCGUGCCAGCCGCCGCGGUAAUAC